rnacentral:rRNA from 1 species
UGGGGAAUUUUGCACAAUGGAGGAAACUCUGAUGCAGCGACGCCGCGUGAGUGAUGAAGAUCUUCGGAUUGUAAAACUCUGUCCUUAGUGAAGAUAAUGACAGUAACUAAGAAGCAAGCCCUGGCUAAAUACGUGCCAGCAGCCGCGGUAAUACGUAUGGGGCAAGCGUUGUCCGGAAUUAUUGGGCGUAAAGGGCACGUAGGCGGUUUAAUAAGUCCUAAUUAAAAGGCUAUGGCUCAACCAUAGUAUGGUUAGGAAACUGUUGAACUUGAGUAGAUGAGGGGAAAGUGGAAUUCCAUGUGUAGCGGUGAAAUGCGUAGAUAUAUGGAGGAACACCAAUGGCGAAGGCAACUUUCUGGAAUCAAACUGACGCUGAGGUACGAAGGCGUGGGGAGCAAACAGG